GUAAAGUCGUAACAAGGUUUCCGUAGGUGAACCUGCGGAAGGAUCAUUAUUGAAAUUACCGGUGAGGGUUGUAGCUGGCCUUUCGGGGCAUGUGCACGCUCGAGCCUUCAAUCCAACACACACCUGUGAACCCAAUGUAAGGGCCCGUAAAAAAGGCCCCUACGUCUUUAUCACCAACUCUGUAUUCAUAGAAUGUAAUCCAUAUCUUCGCCUUAACAAGCGUUGGUAAACUUAUACAACUUUCAACAACGGAUCUCUUGGCUCUCGCAUCGAUGAAGAACGCAGCGAAAUGCGAUAAGUAAUGUGAAUUGCAGAUUUUCAGUGAAUCAUCGAAUCUUUGAACGCACCUUGCNCCCCUUGGUAUUCCGAGGGGCAUGCCUGUUUGAGUGUCAUUAAAUUCUCAACUCUGAUUUGAUUUGUUUCUAAUCGGAGCUUGGACUUGGAGCGUGCUGGCAUCUAGUCGGCUCCUCUCAAAUGCAUCAGCGGAAUCUAACCUUUGGUUUCCGGACGUCGGUGUGAUAAUAAAGUUGCGCCGUCAUUCGACUUCAAAGUCCGCUUAUAAUGGUCUUCGGACGAACUCUUAUAUCAAAUUUGACCUCAAAUCAGGUAGGACUACCCGCUGAACUUAAGC
rnacentral:rRNA from 1 species